UACGAGGGGGGCAAGCGUUGUUCGGAAUUACUGGGCGUAAAGCGUGCGUAGGUGGUUUCUUAAGUCUGCUGUGAAAGCCCCGGGCUCAACCUGGGAAUUGCAGUGGAUACUGGGGAGCUAGAGUGCGGUAGAGGGUAGUGGAAUUCCCGGUGUAGCGGUGAAAUGCGUAGAGAUCGGGAGGAACACCAGUGGCGAAGGCGGCUACCUGGACCAGCACUGACACUGAGGCACGAAAGCGUGGGGAGCAAACAGG
rnacentral:rRNA from 1 species